rnacentral:rRNA from 1 species
CCUACGGGAGGCAGCAGUGAGGGAUAUUGCUCAAUGGGGGGGACCCUGAUGCAGCGACGCCGCGUGGGGGAGGAAGCUCCUCGGCGCGUUAAGCCCUUUCUGCCGGGAAGAAAAUGACGGUACCUGAAGACGAAGCCCCGGCUAACUACGAGCCAGCAGCCGCGGUAAUACGGAGGGGGCAAGCGUUAUCCGGAUUUACUGGGUGUAAUGGGGGCGCAGUGGGCGAUGGAAGCCAGGAGUGGAAGCCCGGGGCCCAACCCCGGGACUGCUCUUGGAACUGCGUGGCUCGAGUGAAGGAGGGGCAGGCGGAAUUCGUGGUGUAGCGGUGAAAUGCGUAGAUAUCAGGAGGAACACCGAUGGCGAAGGCGGCCUGCUGGACUGAAACUGACGUUGAGGCCCGAAAGCGUGGGGAGCAAACAGGAUUAGAUACCCUAGUAGUC